CUACGGGACGCUCCAGUGGGGAAUAUUGGGCAAUGGGCGCAAGCCUGACCCAGCAACGCCGCGUGAGGGAAGAAUGUCUUCGGAUUGUAAACCUCUGUCCUUGGGGACGAAAAAAAUGACGGUACCCAAGGAGGAAGCUCCGGCUAACUACGUGCCAGCAGCCGCGGUAAUACGUAGGGAGCAAGCGUUGUCCGGAAUUAUUGGGCGUAAAGGGUGCGUAGGCGGCGCUGUAAGUCAGAUGUGAAAUCCCCGGGCUUAACUCGGGAGUUGCAUUUGAAACUACAGUGCUUGAGUAAGAAGGGGUAAGUGGAAUUCCUAGUGUAGCGGUGGGAUGCGUAGAUAUUAGGAGGAACACCAGUGGCGAAGGCGACUUACUGGUCUUUUACUGACGCUGAGGCACGAAAGCGUGGGGAGCAAACAGGAUUAGAUACCCGCGUAGUC
rnacentral:rRNA from 1 species